GAUGAACGCUGACAGAAUGCUUAACACAUGCAAGUCUUUGGCGAAGCUGUGCUUGCACAGCCUAGCCAAGGCGGACGGGUGAGUAACGCGUAAGGAACUUGCCCUGCAGUCAGGGAUAACAGACGGAAACGACUGAUAAGACCUGGUAAAGUCAGGCGGACUCAUGUCCAGCCUGAUGAAAAGAGAUGCUGCAGGAGAGCCUUGCGUCCUAUUAGCUUGUUGGUGGGGUAACGGCCCACCAAGGCGAUGAUAGGUAGCCGGCCUGAGAGGGUGGACGGCCACAAGGGGACUGGGAUACGGCCCUUACUCCUACGGGAGGCAGCAGUGGGGAAUAGUGGACAAUGGGGGCAACGCUGAUCCAGCAAUUCUGUGUGCAAGAUGAAGGUUUUCGGAUUGUAAAGUGCUUUCAGCAGGGAAGAAAAAAAUGACGGUACCUGCAGAAGAAGCGACGGCUAAAUACGUG
rnacentral:rRNA from 1 species